GAGGGUGCAGCUCAGUGUUAAGAGUGUGUGCUUAGCAUGCAUGAGGUCCUGGGUUCAAUCCCUGGUACUCUCA
rnacentral:tRNA from 1 species